rnacentral:rRNA from 1 species
GACGAACGCUGGCGGCGUGCUUAACGCAUGCAAGUCGAACGGAAAGGCCCUGCUUUUGUGGGGUGCUCGAGUGGCGAACGGGUGAGUAACACGUGAGUAACCUGCCCUUGACUUUGGGAUAACUUCAGGAAACUGGGGCUAAUACCGGAUAGGAGCUCCUGCUGCAUGGUGGGGGUUGGAAAGUUUCGGCGGUUGGGGAUGGACUCGCGGCUUAUCAGCUUGUUGGUGGGGUAGUGGCUUACCAAGGCUUUGACGGGUAGCCGGCCUGAGAGGGUGACCGGCUACAUUGGGACUGAGAUACGGCCCAGACUCCUACGGGAGGCAGCAGUGGGGAAUAUUGCACAAUGGGCGGAAGCCUGAUGCAGCAACGCCGCGUGCGGGAUGACGGCCUUCGGGUUGUAAACCGCUUUCGCCUGUGACGAAGCGUGAGUGACGGUAAUGGGUAAAGAAGCACCGGCUAACUACGUG